rfam:Brachypodium distachyon strain Bd21 chromosome 3, whole genome shotgun sequence.
AUGAUACUCCCUCCGUCCAACAAAAGAUGUCUCAACUUUGAUUAAAUUUGAAUGCAUCUAUACACUAGUCAUAUCUAGAUACAUCCAAAUUUUGACAAACUUCAGACAUCUUUUGUUGAACGGAGAGAGUAUAUC